rnacentral:snoRNA from 1 species
GUUGCACACCGUUAGAGCCCGGCGCUAUCCCGUCUGUGCAGUGUUGGGUGUAGGAUGUGUGCUAAAUGAACGAGCCUGACCUCUUUAGUUCCACUCUCUGAACUCAGAGGCAGUGGGGGUAGAGGUCUUGCCACACAA